rnacentral:misc_RNA from 1 species
UCUGGAUUGGGUUUCAGGAUCUUGGCCAUGCAGUCCUUUAUACUAGGGUCAUUAAUGCGCUUGUUUAGCGUUCCUGACUCGAUAUCUAGAGCCAGUUCUCGCCAGUUCAAUUGAAGAAACUUGAUGGCACGGAGGAGACCGGAGGCGAACACUGCACCCACCCGGAGCACUUGUUCGCGCUCCAGGAGACCGCAUAGCAUCUGGGUAUACAUGCUCUGGAAGUAGUCCGCACAUAGAAUGGCCUCGAUUGGGCUAGUCUGGACAUUGUAGGGAUCAUAGGGAC